AGGUUGAGGUGCAUUUGGCAGGGCUAUGAGAUGGAAGCUUGUACAGCAGAUACUGCCACCAAUCCCUGUUAGACUAUUAUACAGGAGCAAAUUCCGCUGCUUUUUAAACACAUUGCACUACGUAUUUUUAAGGAUAGACAGCCCUUGGAGCGAUCCCCAAUGGUGCCUGAAAUUCCAUUUGUGUUCCAAGCUUUGGUCAGUGUUUCCCAGAGGGAUCGGGCAGGGCUUUGGUGCAGCAAGGCAGUCGUGCUGCUAAGAAAGGAUCACAGCCAACUUCCUAAAACCCAUGUUCUCAGGACUCCAGAUCAGAGAGUGCAGUGCUGACAGUCCACAGGAGGGCUGCUUGGAACAAAGACCUGGAGCUGGCGAGAGCUGCACCCGCAGAAGAACACGUGAUGCACUUGGUAUCCGCGGGACCCCCCUGACAGCGGCGCCUUACUGGGAUCUUUUCAUCAUGCUAAAAGACUGGAUGGGUGGAAUCUACCUGGGUCUGAUGGCAGAGGCAAGGCUGUGACAACUCUCCCUUUAAACCUGACGGCCCCAGCAUCCCAGUGGAGGUGACAGAAGGAUCUUGGCAGGAAUAUUUCAUGUCUGGGGUGUUGCAGUUCCUGGGGGAAUCCAUUUAUCCAUCCAGUUACCAAAAAAGCAUCCUUCUUCCUGACAUGCACUGAAUUCGGCCCUGCAUAUUUCCUCAGCGCGCCAGCGAGGCAGAGUGCAGCGUACAGCCUGCGAUGGCCAUCUUCACUGCUAGCGCUGCACUGGCCAGCUGGCGCGGUUGCCAGAUAUAUUCCAUCUGCAUCUCUUACGAAGUCCUGGCAUCAGGGAUGGAUGCUAGUGAAUGGGGCUGACGUCCAUUCCUGGCACUUCCUGAGGCAUCUUUGGAUGGCUUAGGAGAGUUUUCCGGAACUUACUGUGAGAGGAGAAUGUGCUCAUUAAUUGCCACAGACGCUGAUAGUGAUCAGCAUUGCCUCUUGCUGAUUUCAUUGUAUCCUACUGGUCUGGCACUUUCCUUCUUUCUGUCAGUGUGCUGUACAGGGUGGGGGACGGGAAGGGAGUGGCAAGAGACUGGAAAACAAAAACUUCUGAGCUCUAGUUUUAGCCCUGCCACUGACGCACUGCAAGGCCUUGGGCAAAUCGCUUAACCAAUCUGUGCCUCAUUCUAGCCAUCUUUAAAAUCUUGUUACUAAUAGGGCUUGUCUACACAGGGAAAAAGCCCCGGGUUGCUAGGGCAGAGUCACUUGUGUGCACUAGUACUAAUUACUCUGCACCAACGCCCUGGGUGGACACCCUUGCUCUCCACGGCCUUUCAGCAGGUUAGGUUAAUACCUAAAAACAGAAAAAUAGUUCUCCUGCUCUAAGCUGGGUGGCCCAUAUACCCGGCAAAGGCUCACGAUCUGUAGCUAUCCCAAGCAGCCUUAGUUUUACAGAUCAGGUUCCAGAAUUGUCAGGUCAUGCAGAUGCCUUAAUUUAAAACAUUUUGUUGGCCUAGCUUAGCCCCGGCCAGGUUCCCUUAGCAAAGCUGUGGACGGUGGCAAGUAGUGGUGUGUAAGCAGAAUUUUCUGUUGGUUCCUUUGUUCCAUUUCCUUCUCUUGUUGGAAACAGACUGGAUUUGCUUUUUCUUCCUAUUAUCCUUAAACGGCAGCUCUUAGAGGGCCCCAUCCCAGAGACUGUUUUCGGUCCAACCUCCUUUUGAAUUUUGCCUGGGUCAAGCCCAAAUCAGUGCUGAGGAGGUGGAAAGGCACAACAGCAAAAACACCCAAACACUCUUGCCAGUCCAGGCUCUAUGAUUUAGAGCUAUAGUCUGACAUGCAGAAUAACCACAGCUGGAUGAAAGGUGCACCGUAAAGUAGUAGUAUGACAGCCUAUGGCUGAUUGGAUUGGCUGUCACUGUACCAGGUGUUUCUCUGAGUACUUUUCAGCUGGAACCAGCUUGUUAUGUUGCCAACUCUGCUGUCCCUUACACCAGCAUAGAUUCAGAGUAACUCCAUUCCGAUCAGGGGAGUUGCUCUGGAUUUACACCUGUGUAACUGACCAGCAGAAGAGGUGCUUGUGUGUCCAGUUCUUGGGUAACAGAGCUCUUUUCUCAGAUUUUAUUAUGUGUAUAGGUUGAAUAAUUACCCACACCCUACAUUCUAGGACCCUGAGCCUAUACUGAGCGCUCUGUAGUGUCCAUCAAUAAAGUUACAUGCAGACA